GGGGUUGUAGCUCAGUGGUAAAGUGCAUACUUAGCUUGUAUGAAGCCCUGGGUUUAAUCCCCAGCACCACCA
rnacentral:tRNA from 1 species